ACAUUGGUGUGCAAGUGGCAAAAAGAGUCCUGUCCCAGCACUGCAAGGGGAAGAUAAAGGCUCGUCAUCUGUGCGUGCGUCCAUCUGAGUGGAACGAAGAAGGGUUGCCGCAGGUGUGGCCAGAUCCUCUAGGCAAGAGGUGUGGAUUCAGGUCCUACUAGUCUUACUCCUGAUGAAGCUGGGCAAAUCAGUUGGCUCUGGAGUAAUUAGUAGCCCCUUCCUCACUGACCAUUGCAAGGAAAUACCAGUGAACUUGAGUUUCUCCAAUGAAGGUGAUCACAGUGAUGAAUGACUUGGCUUCUGCACAGCAAAAGACAUGAUCAUCAGAGCGAACAGACAACCUACAGAAUGGGAGAGCAUUUGUGCCAUCUAUCCAUCUGACAAAAGUCUAAAAUCCAAAGUUUACAAAGAACUUAAACAAAUUUACAAGAAAAAAACAAACGACCCCGUUAAAAAGUGGGCAAAGGAGAUGAACAGACACUUCUCCAAAGAAGACAUUCAUGCAGCCAACAAAGAUAUGAAAAAAGCUCGACAUUACUACUCAUUAGAGAAAUCCAAAUCAAAACCACAAUGAGAUACCACCACAUGCCAGUCAGAAUGGCAAUUAUUAAAAAGUCAAUAAACAACAGAUGCUGGUGAGAUUGUGGAGAAAAAGGAACACUUUUACACUGUUGGUGGGAAUGUAAAUUAGUUCAAACAUUGUGGAAGACAGUGUGGUGAUUCCUUAAAGAACUAGAAGCAGAAAUACCAUUUGACCCAGCAAUUCCAUUCCUGGGUAUCUACCCAAAGGAAUAUAAAUCAUUUCAUUAUAAAGAUACAUGUACGCGUAUGUUCAUUACAGCACCAAUCACAAUAGCAAAGACAUGGAAUCAAUCCAAAUGCCAAUCAAUGAUAGACUGAAUUAGAAAAAAAAAGUAGUACAUGUAUACCAUGAAUACUAUGCAGCCAUAAAAGGAAUGAGAUCAUGUUCUUUGCAGGGUCAUGGAUGGAGCUGGAAGCCGUUACUUUCAGCAAACUAACACAGGAACAGAAAGCCAAACACUGCAUGUUCUCACUUAUAAGUGAGAGCAGAAUGAUGAGAACACAUGGACACAUUAGGGGGAUCAACACACACUGGGGCCUGUUGUGGGGAUGGAGGGAGGGAGAGCAUCAGAAGAAUAGUUAAUGGAUGUUGGGCUUAAUACCUAGGUGAUGGUUUGUGAUAUGGUUAGGCUUUUUGUCCCCACCCAGAUCUUAUCUUGAAUUGUAAUCCCUGUAAUCGCCAAGUGUCUAGGGAGAUACCUGGUAGGGGGUGAUUAAAUCAUGGGGGCGGUUUCCCCCAUGCUGUGGUUGUACGGAAAAGAAAGAGAGAUCAGACUGUUACCGUGUCUAUGUAGAAAGGAAAGACAUAAGAGACUCCAUUUUGAAAAAGACUUGUACUUUAAACAAUUGCUUUGCUGACAUGUUGUUAAUUUGUAGCUUUGCCCCAACCACUUUGCCCAAACCACUUUGACCCAACCUGGAGCUCACAAAAACAUGUGUUGUAUGAAAUCAAGGUUUAAGGGAUCUAGGGCUGUGCAGGACGUGCCUUAUUAACAAAAUGUUUACAAGCAGUAUACUUGGUAAAAGUCAUUGCCAUUCUCUAGUCUCAGUAAACCAGGGGCACAAUGCACUGCGGAAAGCUGCAGGGACCUCUGCCCUUGAAAGCUGGGUCUUGUCCAAGGUUUCUCCCCAUGCGAUAGUCUGAAAUAUGGCCUCGUGGGAUGAGAAAGACCUGACCGUCCCCCAGCCCGACACCCGUAAAGGGUUUGUGCUGAGGUGGAUUAGUAAAAGAGGAAAGCCUCUUGCAGUUGAGAUAGAGGAAGGCUACUGUCUCCUGCCUGCCCCUGGGAACUGAAUGUCUCGGUAUAAAACCCGAUUGUACAUUUGUUCAAUUCUGAGAUGAGAGGAAAACCACCCUGUGGUGGGAGGCGAGACAUGUUUGCAGCAAUGCUGCCUUGUUAUUCUUUACUCCACUGAGAUGUUUGGGUGGAGAGAAACAUAAAUCUGGCUUACGUGUAUGUCCAGUCAUAGUACCUUCCCUUGAACUUAAUUAUGACGUAGAUUCUAUUGCUCACAUGUUUGUUGCUGACCUUCUCCUUAUUAUCACCCUGCUCUCCUACUACAUUCCUUUUUGCUGAAAUAAUGAAAAUAAUAAUCAAUAAAAACUGAGGGAACUCAGAGACCGGUGCCAGUGCAGGUCCUUGGUAUGCUGAGCGCCGGUCCCCUGGGCCCACUGUUGUUUCUCUGUACUUUGUCUCUGUGUCUUAUUUCUUUUCUCAGUCUCUCGUCCCACCUGACUAGAAAUACC
rnacentral:lncRNA from 1 species